rnacentral:rRNA from 1 species
CAAAAAAGCCAYWGASYYUUUASUYARGKRWSGWUKGUSACCAGCGGAGGGAUCAUUACCGAGUUUACAACUCCCAAACCCAAUGUGAACGUUACCAAACUGUUGCCUCGGCGGGGUCACGCCCCGGGUGCGUCGCAGCCCCGGAACCAGGCGCCCGCCGGAGGAACCAACCAAACUCUUUCUGUAGUCCCCUCGCGGACGUAUUUCUUACAGCUCUGAGCAAAAAUUCAAAAUGAAUCAAAACUUUCAACAACGGAUCUCUUGGUUCUGGCAUCGAUGAAGAACGCAGCGAAAUGCGAUAAGUAAUGUGAAUUGCAGAAUUCAGUGAAUCAUCGAAUCUUUGAACGCACAUUGCGCCCGCCAGUAUUCUGGCGGGCAUGCCUGUCCGAGCGUCAUUUCAACCCUCGAACCCCUCCGGGGGAUCGGCGUUGGGGAUCGGGACCCCUCACACGGGUGCCGGCCCCGAAAUACAGUGGCGGUCUCGCCGCAGCCUCUCCUGCGCAGUAGUUUGCACAACUCGCACCGGGAGCGCGGCGCGUCCACGUCCGUAAAACACCCAACUUUCUGAAAUGUUGACCUCGGAUCAGGUAGGAAUACCCGCUGAACUUAAGCAUAUCAAAAGCCSGGAGGAA